rnacentral:rRNA from 1 species
UCCAGACUCCUACGGGAGGCAGCAGUAGGGAAUCUUCGGCAAUGGACGAAAGUCUGACCGAGCAACGCCGCGUGAGUGAAGAAGGUUUUCGGAUCGUAAGACUCUGUUGGUAGAGAAGAACGUUGGUGAGAGUGGAAAGCUCAUCAAGUGACGGUAACUACCCAGAAAGGGACGGCUAACUACGUGCCAGCAGCCGCGGUAAUACGUAGGUCCCGAGCGUUGUCCGGAUUUAUUGGGCGUAAAGCGAGCGCAGGUGGUUUAUUAAGUCUGGUGUAAAAGGCAGUGGCUCAACCAUUGUAUGCAUUGGAAACUGGUAGACUUGAGUGCAGGAGAGGAGAGUGGAAUUCCAUGUGUAGCGGUGAAGUGCGUAGAUAUAUGGAGGAACACCGGUGGCGAAAGCGGCUCUCUGGCCUGUAACUGACACUGAGGCUCGAAAGCGUGGGGAGCAAACAGGAUUAGAUACCCUGGUGGUCCACGCCGUAAACGAUGAGUGCUAGAUGUAGGGAGCUAUAAGUUCUCUGUAUCGCAGCUAACGCAAUAAGCACUCCGCCUGGGGAGUACGACCGCAAGGUUGAAACUCAAAGGAAUUGACGGGGGCCCGCACAAG